ACGGGUGAGUAAUGUCUGGGAAACUGCCUGAUGGAGGGGGAUAACUACUGGAAACGGUGGCUAAUACCGCAUAACGUCGCAAGACCAAAGAGGGGGACCUUCGGGCCUCUUGCCAUCAGAUGUGCCCAGAUGGGAUUAGCUUGUUGGUGAGGUAACGGCUCACCAAGGCGACGAUCCCUAGCUGGUCUGAGAGGAUGACCAGCCACACUGGAACUGAGACACGGUCCAGACUCCUACGGGAGGCAGCAGUGGGGAAUAUUGCACAAUGGGCGCAAGCCUGAUGCAGCCAUGCCGCGUGUAUGAAGAAGGCCUUCGGGUUGUAAAGUACUUUCAGCGGGGAGGAAGGUGUUGUGGUUAAUAACCGCAGCAAUUGACGUUACCCGCAGAAGAAGCACCGGCUAACUCCGUGCCAGCAGCCGCGGUAAUACGGAGGGUGCAAGCGUUAAUCGGAAUUACUGGGCGUAAAGCGCACGCAGGCGGUCUGUCAAGUCGGAUGUGAAAUCCCCGGGCUCAACCUGGGAACUGCAUUCGAAACUGGCAGGCUUGAGUCUUGUAGAGGGGGGUAGAAUUCCAGGUGUAGCGGUGAAAUGCGUAGAGAUCUGGAGGAAUACCGGUGGCGAAGGCGGCCCCCUGGACAAAGACUGACGCUCAGGUGCGAAAGCGUGGGGAGCAAACAGGAUUAGAUACCCUGGUAGUCCACGCCGUAAACGAUGUCUACUUGGAGGUUGUGCCCUUGAGGCGUGGCUUCCGGAGCUAACGCGUUAAGUAGACCGCCUGGGGAGUACGGCCGCAAGGUUAAAACUCAAAUGAAUUGACGGGGGCCCGCACAAGCGGUGGAGCAUGUGGUUUAAUUCGAUGCAACGCGAAGAACCUUACCUGGUCUUGACAUCCACAGAAGAAUCCAGAGAUGGAUUGGUGCCUUCGGGAACUGUGAGACAGGUGCUGCAUGGCUGUCGUCAGCUCGUGUUGUGAAAUGUUGGGUUAAGUCCCGCAACGAGCGCAAC
rnacentral:rRNA from 1 species